UACGAAGGGGGCUAGCGUUGUUCGGAAUCACUGGGCGUAAAGGGCGCGUAGGCGGCUUUGUAGGUCGGGGGUGAAAGCCUGUGGCUCAACCACAGAAUUGCCUUCGAUACUGCAUGGCUUGAGACCGGAAGAGGUUAGUGGAACUGCGAGUGUAGAGGUGAAAUUCGUAGAUAUUCGCAAGAACACCAGUGGCGAAGGCGGCUGACUGGUCCGGAUCUGACGCUGAAGCGCGAAAGCGUGGGGAGCAAACAGG
rnacentral:rRNA from 1 species